UACGUAGGGUGCAAGCGUUAAUCGGAAUUACUGGGCGUAAAGCGUGCGCAGGCGGCUUUGCAAGACAGAUGUGAAAUCCCCGGGCUUAACCUGGGAACUGCAUUUGUGACUGCAUGGCUAGAGUGCGGCAGAGGGGGAUGGAAUUCCGCGUGUAGCAGUGAAAUGCGUAGAUAUGCGGAGGAACACCGAUGGCGAAGGCAAUCCCCGUGGGCCUGCACUGGACGCUCAUGCACGAAAGCGUGGGGAGCAAACAGG
rnacentral:rRNA from 1 species